ACACUUUAAGAUAAUCAGUUAGCUUAAACAAGUCACUAUGCAUGAAUUCAGCUAAUCCUGGACUAUGCAUCCACCAAAAACUCAAACCUGAGAAAAAAGAAAAAAAAAGUUAAUGAAUGACACAUAUAACAUCAAAUUAAUAAUAAAAUAUGCAAUUAACAAGUCAAUAUUAACGCCACAUAUAACAUCAAAUUGCACAACUUAAUAUACUCAAUACAUUAGCAGAAAUAACAUCGCAUUGAACAAUGAAUUUAACACAUUCAAAUAGAUAAAUUUUAAGCUCACUAAUGGUUAAUUUAGCAUGUGAACAGCAUAUAAAUGUUUGCAUUUACAGCAUGGUUUAAUCAACUUCAAGCAGGGAAUUAAAUGCUGUAAAUUUCCAGCAUUCAAAUCAUAUAUGGACAACAUUAAUAUGACAUUUUCGAGCACUUUGAAGACACAUUUGGAAAAUUUGAAGAACCAUUAAUCAUGUUAUUAAUCAUGUUAUUAAUCAUAUAUGCAAGAAUUAGAAUUUGUUUCGACAAAAGUACCAUUUAGAAUUAUACUUUUGAAUCAUCUUUUGCAUCAAGUGAAUUAUAUGCCCAUUUACAUGCAGAAUUUACAGUAUUUACAUGCAUCAACAACAUUAAUGAUAUACCUCAUUACAUGCAGAAUUUACAGUAUUUAAGCUCCUUAGAAUUAUACUUUUGAAUCAUCUUUUGCAUCAAGUGAAUUAUAUGCCCAUUUAGAAUUUAAUGCCAGAAAAUGAAACAAUGUACCAUUUAGAAUUAUACUUUUGAAUCAUCUUUUGCAUCAAGUGAAUUAUAUGAAUUAUGAUUACCACAUCCACAAUGUUUGGAAUGGAAACGGAUUCUAAACAUAUCAAUGUUGGAUAUGAUUAGAUGAUACCUUCUCCAGAAAGCAAAGUGCAGAUAGACCAGCCGUUUGAUUGAAAGAGAUGUCCACCGGUAUGUCAUUCACAGUGCAUUUCACUAUUUUAACCUAAAAUCAAAUUCCAAAAUAACCGAAAUGAGCUCAAGAUGAUUUUAAGGUAUAUUUGCUGCUUACGUACAUAUACUAAUAUGCAGUAAAUACCAUUUAACUGCACGGGAACAACGACAAAGAUGCAGCUGAAAAUUUAAUAUCAGUAUAAUAGCACAAACAGAAGUUGUUGCCAAGUGCCCAACAGCAUAUGACUUAUGUGGAUUAACUCUACCUCUUAAUAGCAUAUAAUUUUUAGUUAACUUCAUUUUUGAAUUUAAUUUAUGGAUUAACUCUACCUCUUAAUAAGGAAAAAUUUUCUGAGAUUGUGUUAGCAAUAAUUAUAUUACUGCUGCAGUCAGCAAGUCAGAUAUUUUUUAAAAAAUAUAACAGUUUAAUGAUUU
rnacentral:lncRNA from 1 species